rnacentral:rRNA from 1 species
AAGCGUGCGCAGGCGGUUUUGUAAGUCUGAUGUGAAAUCCCCGGGCUCAACCUGGGAAUUGCAUUGGAGACUGCAAGGCUAGAAUCUGGCGAGAGGGGGGUAGAAUUCCACGUGUAGCAGUGAAAUGCGUAGAUAUGUGGAGGAACACCGAUGGCGAAGGCAGCCCCCUGGGUCAAGAUUGACGCUCAUGCACGAAAGCGUGGGGAGCAAACAGGAUUAGAUACCCGGGU